rnacentral:lncRNA from 1 species
AACAUAAAUAAGUCAUACAAGCAUCAUAAUACAAGCCAGGGGCCUCGAGGGCUCGAAUACAAAAUACAAGUGCUCGAUCACAGACGAGUCAGCGGAAACAAUAAUAUCUGAGUACAGACAUAAGUUAAACAAGUUUGCCUUAAGAAGGCUAGCACAAAAGUAGCAACGAUCGAAAAGGCAAGGCCUCCUGCCUGGGACCUCCAAACUACUCCUCGAAGCCGAACUCCAUGUAGAAUCAUCCUCGGGAUCUCUAGCUCCUGGACUCCAGCAUCUGGUUGCGACAACCAGGUAUAGAAAGGGGAAAAGAGGGAGAAAAGCAACCGUGAGUACUCAUCCAAAGUACUCGCAAGCAAGGAGCUACACUACAUAUGCAUGGGUAUACGUGUAAAGGGCCAUAUCGGUGGACUGAACUGCAGAAUGCCAGAAUGAGAGGGGGAUAGCUAAUAUUGUCGAAGACUACGCUUCUGAUAGCCUCCAUCUUGCAGCAUGUAGAAGAGAGUAGAUUGAAGUCCUCCAAGUAGCAUCGUAUAGCAUAAUCCUACCCGGCGAUCCCCUCCUCGUCGCCCUAUUAGAGAGCGAUCACCGGGUUGUAUCUGGCACUUGGAAGGGUGUGUUUUAUUAAGUAUCCAAUUCUAGUUGUCAUAAGGUCAAGGUACAACUCCGGGUCGUCCUUUUACCGAGGGACAUGGCUAUUCGAAUAGAUAAACUUCCCUGCAGGGGUGCACCACAUAACCCAACACGCUCGAUCCCAUUUGGCCGGAUACACUUUUCUGGGUCAUGCCCGGCCUCGUAAGAUCAACACGUCGCAACCCCACCUAGGCUCAACAGAGAGGUCAACACGCCGGUCUAAAUCCUAUGCGCGCAGGGGUCUGGGCCCAUCGCCCAUUGCACACCUGCACGUUGCGUACGCGGCCGGAAGCAGACCUAGCCUAGUGGCGUUCCAGUCCAAUCCGGCGCGCGCCGCGCGGUCGCUGACGUCACGAAGGCUUCGGCUGAUACCACGACGUCGGGAUACCCAUAACUACUCCCGCGUAGAUGGUUAGUGCGUAUAGACCAAAUGGCCAGACUCAGAUCAAAUACCAAGAUCUCGUUAAGCGUGUUAAGUAUCCGCGAACGCCGACCAGGGCCAGGCCCACCUCUCUCCUAGGUGGUCUCAACCUGCCCUGUCACUCCGCCAUAAAGUAACAGUCGGGGGCCGUCAGGAACCCAGGCCCACCUCUACCGGGAUGGAGCCACCCGUCCUUUCAGCCCCCUCAUCAGAAUCACUUGCGGGUACUCAACGAGCCGACCCGACUUUAGUCACCACAUGUGUCAUGUAUAUAAGGUACAUAGUAUAUACCCGUGAUCACCUCCCGAAGUGAUCACGGCCCAGUAGUAUAGCAUGGCAGACGGACAAGAGUGUAGGGCCACUGAUGGAACACUAGCAUCCUAUACUAAGCAGUAGGAUAGCAGGUAAGGGUAACAACUGUAGCAAUAAUGACAGACUAUGCAGCAGAAUAGGAUUAACGAAAGCAGUAACAUGCUACACUACUCUAAUGCAAGCAGUAGAGAGAAGAAUAGGCGAUAUCUGGUGAUCAAGGGGGGCUUGUCUGGUUGCUCUGGCAAGUAGGAGGGGUCGUCAACUCCGUAGUCGAACUGGGCAGCAGCAGCGUCGGUCUCGUAGUCUACCGGAGAGAAGAGGGGGAAGAAACAGUAAAUACAAUGCAAACAUAAGCAUGACGAUGCGUGACAUCCCGGCAACAGGCCUACUCAUGCAUGUGGCCCAUGACAAUGAGUGGUGCUAGGUGUGCCCUAACGCGGCAGUAGGUGGUACCGGCGAAGGGGGGAACAUCCGGGAAAGUAUUCCCGAUGUUUCGCGUUUUCGCACAGACGGACCGGAGGGGGAAAGUUCCAUGUUCGCUAUGCUAGGAACGUGUGGCUGACAAACGGACUGCGUAUUCGGAUUCGUCUCGUCGUUCUGAGCAACUUUCAUGUACAAAGUUUUUCCAUCCGAGCUACGGUUUAUUUUAUAUUAAAUUUUAAAGAUUUAAAUCAUUUUUAGAAUUUAAUAAAUUAAUUUAAUUCAAAAUUUAAUUAAUGCAUCAGCAUGACGUCAGCAGUCAACGUUGACCGUUGACCUGGUCAACCUGACAGGUGGGUCCCACCUGUCAGGGGCUGUUAGCUAAUUAACUACUGUUUAAUUAAAUUAACUAAUUAAUUAGAUUAAUUUAAACAGGAUUAGUUAACUUAAUUAAUUUAAUUAAUUAAAUUUAUUUUUAUUAUUUAUUUUAUUUAUAUUUUCUUGUAAUUCUUUUUUUUCCACGAGCGGGCCCCACGUGUCUGUGACUAUGGGGAUAGCUUAGGUGGGGGGGGAUUAGCCCCGCUAAUCAGAACAGGGGGGAAUCCGGUUGGGCACGCGUAGCAGGAGCCACGGCCACCGCGCGGCCGCGAAGGCAAGCGGCGCCGGCAGCGGCCCGGCGGAAGUGGCGGCAGGGGCGGCGAGCGGCGCGGUUUAGGCCGUGGGUGGUCGCGGUCGCGGGCGCAGCCACGGCGCGGCAAGAGGCGGCCAAGGCGCGCGGGCGUCGCCAGGAGCCCGCGGAGGCGGAGCUCCGGCCGUGGCGGAUGGCAGCGCGGGGGCGGCGUUGAGCAGCGGCAGGCGGCGGGGUGAUGUGGGCGAGCAAUGAGCGCGGUGGUCGCGGGCAUCAGCGAGCGGCGGACGGAGCACGACGAUAAGCAGGGGCGCAGCAGCGGGCGUGCCCAGAUGCGGGCGGGCACGCGCGGGGAGUAGGGGAACAGGGCGCGGCGGAUGUGGGGCUGGGCACAGUCAGAAUCGAUGGUUGGGACCACGUCCGGCGGCGGUGGAGCUACAGACGCGGCUGCGAGUGCUCGAGCUCGAAUCCGAGCUCGGGAAAAAGGCGGGGAGGUAGGCGGGGCUCACAUUGAGGGGAAGACGGGCUCGGGGAGGCCGGGAGGUCGCGGUGGAGUGGAGCCAUGAGGGGGCAGAGGCGGCUUCCGCCGAGGGAAUCGAUGCGGGAGAUGGCGCGGCAACGUCUCGGUCCAAGCUAGCAGGCGCAGGCGAUGUGGACGACGAUGGAGGUCCUCCUGAACAUGCGCGGGCGUCGUGGGGAGGCAAGUGGCCGCGGGAUCGAGCGACGCAUGUCGACGGCGGCGUCGGGCGAGGGAAGAGGAAGAGGGGAGAGGCGAGAGGGUG